CAACGAGGCAUGCAGUAGGAGGUAGUUUUAUUUUACCUAUAGGAAAAACCAAAUCAAUUCAACGUUCAGUAAGGUAUAGAGCAAUGUGUAAAUGGAACUCUCUCCCAAAUACUAUUAAACAACAAAACACUCUGUAUGGUUUCAAAAAAUCACUUAAGAAAUAUUACCUUCAAAGAAACAUAUACAGUUAAUAUUAAUUUAAGGAGAUACCGUUAUUGUCAGGAUAGUCACUGGAGGCAGAGGUAAGUGAAUUUAACACAAUGUUUAUUUUUCUCAAGAAUUAGUGCAAAGUGAGUAGAAGGUGAUUUCAGGUGCGGAUUCUGUGAAGAUCACUCGGUGAGAGGUGGGGUUCAGGUGAGUACGUCCAGAGACGAAAGGUCAAUGCCACACUAUCCCAGAUAACUAAUGCUUGUCCUUUUCCUUCUGUAUUAGGAGAAGAUCUGUCCAGCGAGCUUGCCCGGCACACACGAGACACCAGAGAUCGAAGAGGAAUCAGGUAACUAAGAUUGAUCAGGAAUCCUGGAGACAGUAGCACAAUGACACAGAGGUUAGGUUUUCAAAAGUACGUAUACGUUACGUCGUGGAGCUCUUUGGAUGCGAGGCAGGCUGGGAACGGAACCAUGAGGUCGGUUCCUGUUGGAGGCUUGACGGUGAACUGAUGCUGAGGGUCGUUUCCGGAGGAUCUGAACAUGCUUCUGCAGGAGGCCAAGGACAGAAAGUGGCCGUUCAUCAAGGAGAAAUGGCAGUACAAACAAUCCAGGUAAACUGCAGAAAUCGGAGUUCAUUCUCAGCAGUCUGAUCAGUAAUAACGCUUAUUUGUCCGUCUCUGCUGUGAAAAUUCAGCAUGCUGUUUCUGAUGAUUCAGGCUUGUGGAUAUAUCAGAAGAGCAGUGAUCAGACACUAGUGCAAGCCGUCAGUCUGCAGAUGCUGGGUGAGGUUUAGAGAAACUAAGGGUCUUGAGCAUCAAAACUGGGCUGUUAAACCUGUUUCACUCAAUCUAAUUAGCCUAAUUGUACAAACCUCCAGCUUCAGCUGCUGCUUCUGGUGUCAGAUCUUGAGUGAUUUUGAUCAAGUAAAGGUCAGAAUAACUGAAGUAAUAUCUACAGAUGAACUCUUACUGGCAUGAAGCAGCUCAGCUUUCCUUGAUUCUCCAUCAAUCAUGUUUUAGUGUCUCAAAUCUGAUCAUCAGGAUCUUUUGAGGAGCGUUUGUUUCCAGAAGCUUUACUUUCACUGUUCCUCAGUGGAGGAAUGAUCUUCACAAGCCUCCAGAACAUCUCACAUCUUCUGAGGAGCCUUUAUUUCUUCAUCUCUCAAU
ensembl:lncRNA